rfam:Capsicum annuum cultivar Zunla-1 unplaced genomic scaffold scaffold3026, whole genome shotgun sequence
AAUUCAUGGUUUGGGCAUUGCGUGAGUUUACCAUUGAACCUUUGACACACCUCAUAUAUGGGCUCACCACUAAGCUGAUAAAAAUUUGUGAUUUUGUAUCUUAGUU